AGCCAAUGGCGACGCCCGCCUCGAGGCUCGCCGCGCCAUUUUGAAAGUCACGCGAUUCAGCGUGCGCGCGAUUUAAAACGGCGCCGCGGCGGUGUCGGCGGUGAUUCGUGUGUGUUCGUGUGAUUUCCCCGCGGCCGUUAAUUAUCGAGAUCACCCGAUCACGUUAAUUAGUCAUUGUGUCUAUAGUCGCCGUAGGGAAUUGUGCACAAAGUCGCUUCAAAACUGUCGGAACACGUAUAAGCGCUGCUGUCAAUAUCACGCUGAUUCUGUUAUCAAGGUUGCGCGAGUUACGACUUUUAUGACUGUGAGAAGUUUAAUCGACAUUGAUACGCGAGCACAAAGGAUUAUCUCUCUGGACGAAUGUAUUAUUGUGUACCAAUUCUGGACAGGAUCGUACAAAGAGCGUCAAGCAUUCGCCCUUUUUAACAGAUUCGUUUUAUAUGUAAUACUCUGAUGAGAUAACAUCGAAUGAUACCGAUUCCGUGGCACACGUGAUCGUGCCGAAAUGGACGCGGACGAGCGUGUGGUACGUGAUACACUGGCUGGCAUAUCCGGUGAGAUUCGCUCUGUUUCGGAACCAACUGUACGUCCCUUCCCUCUUCAACCGUCCGA